rnacentral:tRNA from 4 species
CAAAGGAUAGUUUAUAAAAAUUCCGGUUUUGGGGACCGGGGAUGAAGGUGUGAGUCUUUCUCUUUUGA